AUGUUCCUGCAUUGCAGAAGAGUGCAAAUGAGAGUUUGCUCACAAUGUGUCUCAUCUAGUGGGUGUGAGAGGAACUGGAGCGCCUUUGCUUUGGUGCACACAAAGCAAAGAAAUCGCCUUUUAUAUGACAAGCUCCACAAGCUAGUUUCUGUCCGCUACAACCUAAAGAUACGUGCUGCAGAAGAUCAAGAGAAAGAGAGAGAUAUAGAUAAAGAGGUUGAUCCAAGUGCAUUGCUGAUAGAUACAACAAUGUUCGAUGAGACGAAUCCAAUAAUGGAGUGGCUGAAUGAGGAUGAAGAUGAUCCAAUUGUGGAUGGAGCUGAUGCGGCCAGUGCUGUUUUUGAGAAAAUAAGGCACCUCAACUCAAGUAGGAAGGAUUCUUAUGUUGGUACAAAGGCUAAUAAGAAGAAAAGAAAGAGGAAUCAUGAUGAGGAGAAUGAGUAUGUCGAAACUGAGAGUGAGGAUGACGACAAUGAGAAUGAAUAUCUUGAUAAUGAGAGUGAGGAUGAUGAUGGUGUGAGUGAGGAUGAUGAGGAUGAUCAACAAUAUCAGCAAGAAACACAAAUGCAAGUGGAAGAAGACACACAAGUACAAGUCGAAAAGGAGACACAAGCAAGCGUUGGCAAUUUGGAGACUCGUAGAUCUGGACGGCUAGUUAGGAAGAAGACCAAGGAAGUCAACAGCCUCUACUCAUAG
rnacentral:rRNA from 1 species